rnacentral:misc_RNA from 1 species
AACGCACAUUGCGCUCGCCAGUAUUCUGGCGAGCAUGCCUGUUCGAGCGUCAUUUCAACCCUCAAGCCCCCCCCCGGGGCCUGGUGUUGGGGAUCGGCGUAGCGCCCUCCGGGGCGCUGCCGUCCCCUAAAUCUAGUGGCGGUCCCGCUGCAGCCUCCUCUGCGUAGUAGUUUUCUCCUCGCACUGGCAGCUCGGCGCGGCCUCGCCGUAAAACCCCCAACUUCUGAAUGGUUGACCUCGAAUCAGGUAGGAAUACCCGCUGAACUUAA